GCCAGAUCUCAGCAGUCAAGGUCAAGUGAACGAGGCGGUCCACUUGUAGUACACCAAAACCCCUCACCGACCGGCCGCCGGAUGUGUCUCACCGCCCUCGUGAGUACUCUGCAAGUAUCGUGGGACUCUGCGACGAAGCCUUUACCUUUUCCAUGUGAAGGUAUACCCUGUGAUGACGGCGUUGGCCUC